UACGGAGGGAGCUAGCGUUAUUCGGAAUUACUGGGCGUAAAGCGCACGUAGGCGGCUUUGUAAGUUAGAGGUGAAAGCCUGGAGCUCAACUCCAGAAUUGCCUUUAAGACUGCAUCGCUUGAAUCCAGGAGAGGUGAGUGGAAUUCCGAGUGUAGAGGUGAAAUUCGUAGAUAUUACGGAAGAACACCAGUGGCGAAGGCGGCUCACUGGACUGGUAUUGACGCUGAGGUGCGAAAGCGUGGGGAGCAAACAGG
rnacentral:rRNA from 1 species